rnacentral:rRNA from 1 species
ACGUAGGUGGCAAGCGUUGUCCGGAAUUACUGGGUGUAAAGCGCGUGUAGGCGGGAAUGCAAGUCAGAUGUGAAAUCUUGGGGCUCAACCUCAUGGCUGCAUCUGAAACUGUGUUUCUUGAGUAUCGGAGAGGAAAGUGGAAUUCCUAGUGUAGCGGUGAAAUGCGUAGAUAUUAGGAGGAACACCAGUGGCGAAGGCGACUUUCUGGACGAUUACUGACGCUGAGACGCGAAAGCGUGGGGAGCAAACAGGAUUAGAUACCCUGGUAGUCCACGCUGUAAACGAUGGAUACUAGGUGUAGGAGGUAUCGACUCCUUCUGUGCCGGAGGUAACACAUUAAGUAUCCCACCUGGGAAGUACGAUCGCAAGAUUG